GACGAACGCUGGCGGCGUGCCUAAUACAUGCGAGUCGAGCGGAGUAAAAAGCGUGCUUGCACGGUUUUUAUUUAGCGGCGAACAGGUGAGUAACACGUAGGUAACCUGGCCAUAAGACAGGGAUAACGCACGGAAACGUGAGCUAAAACCAGAUAGGCAUUUUCCACGCAUGAGGGAGAUGAGAAAGGCGGAGCAAUCUGCCGCUUAUGGAUGGACCUGCGUCGCAUUAGCUAGUUGGAGUGGUAAAGGCACACCAAGGCGACGAUGCGUAGCCGACCUGAGAGGGUGAGCGGCCACACUGGGACUGAGACACGGCCCAGACUCCUACGGGAGGCAGCAGUAGGGAAUCUUCCGCAAUGGACGAAGUCUGACGGAGCAACGACCGCGUGAGU
rnacentral:rRNA from 1 species